AUUUAAUUUUAGCCCAGAAAAUUGGUGGGAAAUUUGCAAAAUUAUCCUUUUUUUACUACCCUUUUGCAACAAUACCCUUUUAUAUUGUUCAUUUUUUAAAAUAUCCCUUCCCUUGAACAGAACGACCAAAUUACCCUCAUCUAAUAAGAACAUGUAAUUGGAAACUGAAAGUUUUCCGCCAAAUUUUUGGCGCCAAAAUUUAUUUUUCCCGCCAAAAAAAAAUUUCCGCCAAACUUUUUUUCCCGCCAAAAAAAAAAAUUCUCGCCAAAAAAAAUUUCCCGCCAAAUUUUUUUCUCGUAAAUGUUUUUUCCCAGGCAAAAAAAUGCUUUUAAAAAUCCUUGAAAUUUUUUAAAAAACUCUUUUAAAAAACCUUGUAAAGUUUUUAAAAAGCUUUGGUAGUUGCUAAAAACUCUUGUAAAUCAUUUUAAAACCUCUUAAAA
rnacentral:sRNA from 1 species